AACUCCAGCGCGCAUGAUCCCAACGUUGCAUGACUUCUGCUGUCGUAACAGUAGCGUGUGAAAUUAUUUACAUAACAAUUUAAAACUAUCAAACUCUUCCAUCUGCCAAGACAACUAUAAGUAGAAUAAGCAGAGCAGACUUAAAAUUAUGCUCUGCUCUUUUUAGUGAACAUCAUUAUUCCACAUGUCAUUGAUUUCUGCAAGCAAGUUGCAGGGGACAAACAAAAGCUUUCAAUAUACUCAAACACAUAGAUUUAAAAACUGAAUUACACAGCACUUUAAAGAAUAUUCUGAUAUAUAUUUGUGAAACACGUAUUUUUCAAAUGUAAUAUAAUGUGUUUCUGGCAUAUUGUGAACAGUAUGUGUUUCUGUUGGUUUUAUAGUGUGUAUCUUUGUUAUGUAGAAAUUACAACUGCUAAAAUGUAAUCAUAAGAGUUUGAAUAUCAGAAAUGAGGUUUCCCACUAAGCUCAAAACAAUAAAAACCUGUGAAAUACCCAAGACCAAAUUUUCUGCACUCACUAGUUUUCAAUCUUAGCCACUUCGCUGUGCUCCCCUUUCUUUGAGUGAUGUGGAAAUAUCAAUUAUUUGUGAUGCAAGUUUAACAUCUACCUAAAUUUGAUCAUGACAUAAUAUAUACAUAUUUUAAGCGAGGAUAUUUCUGUGGAUAUGAAGAGUAAAAAUGUUAUAUAAAUGAACAAUUCUUUCUGGUGCAUUAUUAUCCAGUAUGUUACAGUGUCAAAUUUUAAAAUAAGAGCACUGAAAAAUGGUUAUAAAUGAGUAAGUUGUGAGAAAGUACAGUUUGUGAAUGGAGGCUUAGUGUACUGAUUUGAUUUUUAGGCAUAAAAUACAAUAAUAUAGUACUUUCAGUAAACAUGAGUUGGUUGUUGGAUUUUUUACAUAAUAUUAAGCAUUAGGUUAAUUGAACAGAAAAAAUAUUUUCAGACGAAAUUCUUUAAAAUAAGCUUCUGAAAGUUUCUCCAUCAAUACACGUUUGUUGCACAUGUGAAGUAACAUCUUCCAUGUAUGUUGUAGGUUAUCGAGUAAAUGUCUGUUGCUUUUACAGUGAAUAUGAAUUUUAUUUCAAUUAAAGAGGCUUGAGUCAUCAUGAUUUACUGUAUAGCAAACACUUAAGAUAUCAUAGUUCUUAUACACAAUGAUGUGAUGGCUCUUAUACUUUUUCCAGUUUUGAUAUUUACUCAUUUUAUCUUUGCCAACCAUUUUUGGUAAAUAUAUAAAUUUGUUAAUGGUAUACGAAGAAACUGUUUUUUCUUGACCGUUCCAAAAAUUUCAGUAUCUGUAAGCUUGAUGGCAUCUUGCAAGUUAAUUGCUACAUUUCGUUUCAGCUGUUAGUGGAUUUAAUGAAUCAACUCUGACAAAAUGUUUAAGAUACUCAAGUUAUAAUAAGAGCUCAUCUGAAAUAUAAACAAAGAUUGUGUAUUGGAGGGAGGUUUUUUCUCAGUUAUAGUAAGGUAAAAAUGAAAUACAAAAAAUUAAGUAAAGAUACCUGAAUAUUGUAGAUUGUUCAGACUGUUAAUCAGUCUUUUGUUAUAAUUUUGUCAUCUAAGUGCAAAUGUUCUAACUUCAAAGAAAAUACUGACAAGUUAUCAGCAAGAAUAUUGGACUACUUUCUUAAGGCAGUCAGAGUCAGCUUCACUUGCAAAUGUUUAGAUGCAUUCUACUUUUUGUAGCUUUAAAUUAUCAGAUGCUUGUUAUUGAUAUGGACAAAAGUUUUCAGUGUUUGCACAUUUAAUAAUCCAUGUGAAUGUAUAUUUUUGAUUUGCCUUAGAUGAAUGAAGCCCACCCAAGGCUGCAGUGAAAACUGACCUGCACAUGUUCACUGCUGUACCACCACAUUUGUUAUCAUAAGAUCUAUUUAAAAACAUUCAUAUCCUAGGUUACUAUAGUAAUGUUAUUCAUUUAUUUAAAUCAUAGAUGACUUUUUAUUUACAGUCUUGACAGAUUUCUUCAAGAAAAAAUAAAGUUUAAAAGAAACCAUUUUUAUAGUAUCUGAUCCGUCAGAUAUUGUCUUAUUACUACUGGUUUUUUGGAGUGGUUACCAUUAAUGUUACAAGUCUCACCAAAGCCUUCAAUCAUUUUAUUUUGAUUACUAGAAAUCUUUGAAAAUUCUGUGAUUGGUGAUGCCAGUCCGAAUAAGAGAAAGAAAAAAAAUUAAGGUGUUUCUGCUGUUACAGGAUCUGUUUUUCCCAAUGAAGAAGGAACUAGCUUCAGCAGCUUGAUCACACAAACAUCCAUGGGUGCUGCAUCCAGUGACUUAACUGGUAUGCCACCUUGUGGAUUAACAUCAGUACUCGUUUCAUUCUCUAGCGACUUGAGAUAAAACUAUUAUGCAGAGAAAUAUUCAAAUUUUGGUGGCCGAGAGUGGUCACAGUUAACUCUGUUGGCGAUUCUACUGUGAGCUGUCCAUGUACACCAAUAGUUACCGAGUCAACUGACGACUUCAUGAAAAGGUGUACCGUUGAAGGUUCUAGUGGCUACUUCUAGUGGUACAACAGACUUGUAAUGUUUACUAGAAGCUUGCCAAAUUUCAUGAAGAUACACUCCGUAAAUACAGAAUUAUAACAAACAAGGUAUGAUACAAGGAAGAAGAUCAAACUUUAUUUUGAGGGUGUGCAGAGUGAGGCAAAGUGACCAACUUACUGAGAGAGGGUCAUCUGACUCCACCCCUUUAUGCUCAGUUGGGGGACUUCUCGAAUCUUCUAUCAAACUGAACAUGUGAGGGUUUUGUAAUUCCUGGGUGGAGCAGGAGAGCAUGGGAAUGAAGCAAAAGUGGUGCAAUUUGCUACAAUUAUAACAAGAACAAAUGGCAUAUAUGAACAAUAUAUUUGGAAUUUUACACCAAUACAAUACAGUCAAUGUUUGAAGUUAUCAAAAAUGUAUGCCUUUUACCCCAGUAAACUGUCCAAGUAAACUUAUUUUCAUAGCAAAAAUCUAUUGUACUGCUUGAUUAUAUGAUAUUUCACAUAGUACUGAUAAACUAUUGAGAUAUUAUAAUAACCCAAACUCUAGAGGUGAUGGACUAAUUCUGACUACAUUUUUGAAAUCAGCACCAUCAAAUUACCUCGAAUCAUGUGAGUUUUCACCAGUAGCAAAUCUUUUGUUGUCCAGUGUAAAUAAUAACUUCUUACUGUAGACUCUUGAGUUUUUACCAGUAUCAAAUCUUUUGUUGUCCAGUGUAAAUAAUAACUUCUUACUGUAGACUCUUGAGUUUUUACCAGUAUCAAAUCUUUUGUUGUCCAGUGUAAAUAAUAACUUCUUACUGUAGACUCUUGAGUUUUUACCAGUAUCAAAUCUUUUGUUGUCCAGUGUAAAUAAUAACUUCUUACUGUAGACUCUUGAGGUUUUACCAGUAUCAAAUCUUUUGUUCUCCAGUGUAAAUAAUAACUUCUUACUGUAGACUCUUGAGGUUUUACCAGUAUCAAAUCUUUUGUUGUACAGUGUAAAUAAUAACUUCUUACUGUAGACUCUUGAGUUUCAGUUUCUUUUACUGAGGUCUUCGUUGCAGUGAUAUAUUUAUAGCAACAUAUAAGGUAAUGAUAAUGUUAAAUUUUUUAACAGCAUAUAUGGUUGUGGAAAAAACAGUUUACUGAGCUACCCUAUGUUUACAGGCUUGGUUAUUGUAACUACUAUGUACCUGAACCUGUACCUACUAUAACUCUGUAUGUAUUAUCUUCAUGAUGUGUGGCUUUUACUAAACUGAGAAUAAAAUCCAAAACUGUACCUACUAUAA